rnacentral:rRNA from 1 species
AUGCACGCUGGCGGCGUGCCUCAUACAUGCCAGUCGAGCGAACAGAUGAGGAGCUUGCUCCUCUGACGUUAGCGGCGGACGGGUGAGUAACACGUGGAUAACCUACCUAUAAGACUGGGAUAACUUCGGGAAACCGGAGCUAAUACCGGAUAAUAUAUUGAACCGCAUGGUUCAAUAGUGAAAGACGGUUUUGCUGUCACUUAUAGAUGGAUCCGCGCCGCAUUAGCUAGUUGGUAAGGUAACGGCUUACCAAGGCAACGAUGCGUAGCCGACCUGAGAGGGUGAUCGGCCACACUGGAACCGAGACACGGUCCAGACUCCUACGGGAGGCAGCAGUAGGGAAUCUUCCGCAAUGGGCGAAAGCUUGACGGAGCAACGCCGCGUGAGUGAUGAAGGUCUUCGGAUCGUAAAACUCUGUUAUUAGGGAAGAACAAAUGUGUAAGUAACUAUGCACGUCUUGACGGUACCUAAUCAGAAAGCCACGGCUAACUACGUG